GUCAAAGAAACACAGAAGCCUUUUGGGGAAGAGGAGGCAGGUUCAUUAAUGGAGAGCCAAGGAAUAUUGUUUCCAUGCUGGUGAAGGUGGUACUUGCUAUACUGCUGAGAUGGUCAGACAUUCCAUAAGAUACACCAGUGGUUUUACAGAUGAAGAAGCAGGGAAGACAAGGUGGAGCCUUCUGAUGCCACAGAGUCAUCUGAAUCUUGCUCUCAUGUGAACUUGGUGCUUGUGAAUUUCCAUUGAGCUUAGGACCACUGAGCUGUUGGAUCAUUCACCAUAGCCUGGUCAAUUUGCCCUUGUUGAAUACUGGCAAUUUUCUUGGAAACACAGAGGCCCGAGAAAGAUGUGAAGUGGAAUCCCUGUCACCAGAUAGAACCGUAGAAUGACUCCUCUGAGAACAAAGUAAUUGUUGACUUCAAAGAACCCCGAGGAAGUUCAGCGAUGGAAAGAAUCUGGCUAGCAACCGGGUGAAUCAAAUCGAGCUUUUCUUUCUAUCACUAGUGUGUGUGCAUGUGUGCGGAAAGCACGUAAACAUGUCUACAACACUUAGCUCACUACCUGCAGUACUUCUCAAUGUUAAAAAUGGCUUGGAGAAUGGGAAUGCCCUACGUAUUUAGUAACCACUACAAAGAAGCCUUAGGUUGUCCCAUAUCUAGGCUACCCCUGGACGGUGCUAAUUACGGACACCAGUGAGUCUGAGACCUAGCUGGGCCUCAGAAUCAUGUGGGGAGUUUUAAAAGUAUAUGUUCUUGCUUACCACAGUCCUAUUGAAUCAGACCCUCCAGGCAGAGAGCUGGCAAAUAUACUUAAGA